GUUGCCCAGGUUGGCCUUUGAACUCCUGGCCUCAAGGGAUCCUACUCCGUCAGCCUCCAGAGUAGCUGAGACUACAGGUGCACCCCACGGAGCUGGGCUUUCUUCCUAUUUGUCUAUUUUCAGAUGUGAAGAUGAUAUUCUGGGCAUGGAGGAAAAUGUCCUUGUUCUCAAGAGACAGCAUCUGGAAUAUUUCCGAAUGAAGCAUUGUGAUGUUUUUUAACUCACUUCAAAUGGUCCAGAAAAAAAGGAGGAGAGAUAAAGCUUAUGUGGAAUCCAGGUUAAAGGACCCUGGAAAGCUGGGCUUCCAUCCUCCACUCUACCUGUGCAGCUGCAAAGUUCGUAGUCCACGAAUGUGUUCCUGUUUCCAGCAUCUACCCUGAACCCUGGGCUCCACCCCAGUUCUUCUGGGCUAGACAAGCUAGAAGGAAAUGUGGAGGUCCCCUUUUGGCUACAGGAGUGGGCUGUCACCACCCUCAGGAAACCAGCUCCCUUCUGCCCCUGCUGAGGUGUCCCUUCCCACCCAGCCUUUCUAGCAAAAGCAAAUCAGAAGGUCUCUGUGCCAUGACCUACCCCAUCCAAAAGGCACCCUCAUCCAGCACUCCACUAACGCCACCUCAGCCAUCUGUGGGGCUGACAGCCCUCCCACCGAACAGCCCUCCCUAUCUUCAGGAAGCCAGCGUCCAAGCUGGGAGCGAGAGGAAGGCCGGAUGCAGAUGGUCCCUCUUUCAACUCCAGAGUGAAGUGUAGUUCUCUUGCUUUUAACCAUUUCCUGGAUUUAAUUGCUUGCCUACUCCAUCCUGCCCGUGCUGUUUUGCAAUUCUCUGGUGACUCUGUUCUUGCAAAAACAUUCAUUUGGUGAUCAGUAGAUACCAGGCACUGGGCGAAGCACUGAGAAUAAAAAUUCCCAGGGAGCUAGGUUUGUACCCCUGGAGGGUUCCCUUUUCUCCUAGUGCAUGGAAGAAGAAACCUACCGUGAAAAUACAGUGAUAAGUGACUUGACAAGGGAAUGAGGCUUUCCUGGAGACAGCAGAGGAGAUGAGAAAGAAUGGGUUGUGUUCUGGGAGUGUAAAGUGGUGGACCCUGAGCAGAGAAGGCCUGAGAGGUCAGAUCAUGAAGGGAUUUGGCACCAAACUAACAUGUAAGAAUGUUAUCCCCAAAACAAAAGCUUAAAGUCCUCUAAGCUUUUCAGUGGGCAAUGAUGUGAUACCCAACUGUAGAGUCCCAUGAAGCCUUGAGGAACCGGGUGAAGGACAAAGGAGUCCGGGAGGCUGGUGGGAGGCUUGGACUGUUUAUUUGACUCUUUUCUGUUCUGUUUGGAUGUUUCAACCAUGUACUUGAUUAUUUUUUAUCUUGAAAACAAACAGGCCAGGCACAGUGGCUCAUGCCUGUAAUCCCAACACUUUGGGAAGCCGAGGCAGGUGGAUCACCUGAGGUCAGAAGUUCAAGACCAGUCUGGCCAACAUGGUGAAACCUCAUCUCUAACAAUAAUACAAAAAUUAGCUGGGGG
rnacentral:lncRNA from 1 species